rnacentral:rRNA from 1 species
CUGAAGUAGUGAAGCUGCGGCCCCUUCCUGUCGAGAAAAGCCGCUAUCGUGUAGCAAGGGCCCGUACCGUAAACCGACACAGGUGGAUGAGGAGAGGAUCCUAAGGCCGGCGGGAGAAGUGUUGUUAAGGAACUCGGCAAAAUGACUCCGUAACUUCGGGAGAAGGAGUGCUGCGCAAGCAGCCGCAGAGAAAUGGCCCAAGCAACUGUUUAGCAAAAACACAGGUCUAUGCGAAACCGAAAGGUGAGGUAUAUGGGCUGACGCCUGCCCGGUGUUGGAAGGUUAAGGGGAGAGCUUAGCGCAAGCGAAGGUUUGAACUUAAGCCCCAGUAAACGGCGGCCGUAACAAUAACGGUCCUAAGGUAGCGAAAUUCCUUGUCGGGUAGUUCCGACCCGCACGAAAGGCGUAAUGAUUUGGGCACUGUCUCAACAACACACCCGGUGAAAUUGAAAUACCAGUGAAGAUGCUGGUUACCCGCGCCAGGACGGAAAGACCCCAUGGAGCUUUACUCCAGCCUGAUACUGGGAUUCGGUAUUGCAUGUACAGGAUAGGUGGGAGGCUAAGAACUUAUGGCGCCAGCCGUGAGGGAGCCGAUGUUGGGAUACCACCCCUGCAGUACUGGGUUUCUAACCUGCGCCCGUGACCCGGGCGGGGGACAAUGUCAGGCGGGGAGUUUGACUGGGGCGGUCGCCUCCGAAAGGGUAUCGGAGGCGCUCAAAGGUCUCCUCAGGAUGGUUGGAAACCAUCCAGAGAGUGCAAAGGCAGAAGGAGGCUUGACUGCGACACCGACGGGUGGAGCAGGUACGAAAGUAGGACUUAGUGAUCCGGUGGCAUAAAGUGGGAUUGCCAUCGCUCAACGGAUAAAAGCUACCCUGGGAUAACAGGCUUAUCACUCCCAAGAGUUCACAUCGACGGAGUGGUUUGGCACCUCGAUGUCGGCUCAUCGCAUCCUGGAGCUGGAGCAGGUUCCAAGGGUUGGGCUGUUCGCCCAUUAAAGCGGUACGCGAGCUGGGUUCAGAACGUCGUGAGACAGUUCGGUCCCUAUCCGGCGCGGGCGCAGGAUAUCUGAGAGGAGCUGUCCUUAGUACGAGAGGACCGGGAUGGACCGUCCGCUGGUGGACCGGUUGUCAUGCCAAUGGCACGGCCGGGUAGCCAAGACGGGAAGGGAUAAACGCUGAAGGCAUCUAAGCGUGAAGCCCCCCCUCAAGAUGAGAUAUCCAUACUCGAAAGAGUGAGAGACCCCUUAGAGACGAUGAGGUAGAUAGGGCAGAGAUGGAAGCACAGCGAUGUGUGGAGUUGACUGUUACUAAUCGGUCGAUAGCUU